rnacentral:rRNA from 1 species
AUUGAACGCUGGCGGCAGGCCUAACACAUGCAAGUCGAACGAAACGCGGACGUGUGGGUAAUGUCUGGGACCCUUCCCGAUGGAGGGGUAUGACUAAUGGUAACGGAAGCUACAAACGCCUACCAUCGGCUGUGCCGAGAUGGGAUUAGCUAGUGGUCGGGGUAAUGGCUCACCAAGGCGACGAUCCCGAGUUGGUCUGAGAGGAGGCACAGCCACACUGGAACUGAGACACGGUCCAGACUCCUACGGGAGGCAGCAGUGGGGAAUAUUGGGCAAUGGGCGAAAGUCUGAUGGAGCCAUGCCGCGUGAAUGAAGAAGGCUUUCGGGUUGUAAAGUACUGUCGGCGGGGAGGCGUUACUCUAACAAGAAGCAACGGCUAACUCCGUGCCAGCAGCCGCGGUAAUAC